rnacentral:misc_RNA from 1 species
GUAGCACAUUCCAUUGCAGACAUCUCCUAGCGUAGUUUAGCUCUAUUGCCCACCUCCCCCCACACUUCCCCAAAAGAAAUGCAUACACAUAUCUCCGUGAGCACACACUAUAUCGCAGAUAUAGCGAUGAAUCGAGUGAGAAAAGAAACGAGAGUACACUUAAAAAGAAUACCCAUACAACUUACUGAAAAUCUUGGAAAGUUGAAGUCCAAACAGGUUAAAUCCGGCCCCGGCAGUCAAAGCGAUGCAAAUGCUAUUCCAGCGAACGCAUUGACCAUAUUAUUGAUAUAAUCGUAUAUGGAAUAUUUUGUAAACUUUUGCUUACGUUCUCCCCCUGCGCCGAAUGUAAAACUGUAAGAAUCGCUUCAGCGCUCAGCCGCCUGCACCUGCUCAGCCGACGCUCCUGCGCUAUCCUGCUAUACCGUAACCGUUAUCGUUACCGUUACCGUUAUCGCUAUAUCAUUAACGCUAUCGCAUCCAGAAAUGCCAGCAGCAGCAACUGCAGCAGCAUCUGCAGCAUCUGCCGCAGCAACAACAUCAGCGUCUAGAACAACAACGAACAACUAGGAAGAUCUAACAGCCCUCUCAAAAUGCUGAGGCUGUGCGGCUCCUGCUUCUGCUCCUAAGUCCCGUUUCCCUGUGCUUCCCGAUUCCGGUGCAUGUGCAAUCAGUUGCUGUAUCCAAUCGAAAUCGAAUAACAAUCGAAAAUCGAUAUUGAGAUCGCGACAGUACCAGAAUCAGAUCGCGUCAAGCGCAAUCUGCCAGCAAAUUCAAAUCCAAGCAAAGCAAAUCAAAGCAAACAAAAAGCAAAAGCAAAGCAAUCCCAAAUCAAAAGCAAACAACCAAAAAAACAAAACAAAUUGCAAAAAAAAGCAAGAAAUAUACACAACGGCGCACGCUUAGCACAUUUGCAUAAAAAUACAACUUACUUGC